rnacentral:misc_RNA from 1 species
AAGUCGUAACAAGGUUUCCGUAGGUGAACCUGCGGAAGGAUCAUUACUGAAUUUGAAAGAGGUUGUUGCUGGCCUUCACCGGCAUGUGCACGCCUUGAUCUCAUCCAUCUUACACCUGUGCACCUUUGCGUGGGUCUGCUGGCUUUGCGGCUUGCAGGCUUGCGUCUUUCACAAACUCUUAUGUAUGUAACAGAAUGUCUUAUGCUAUAAAACGCAUCUUAUACAACUUUCAACAACGGAUCUCUUGGCUCUC